GCCAUCUUAGCUCAGUGGUAGAGCACUUCCAUGGUAAGGAAGGGGUCUCGGGUUCAAUCCCCGAAGAUGGCU
rnacentral:tRNA from 1 species